ACAGAAACUGCGGCAACGCCGAGGACGCACAGACUGAGCCACGUCUCCAUCCUGAUGGUACGGUCAGUGCUGGUUUUAGGACUGCUGGCAGUGGUGUGGGCCGUGGGCAUUUACCUGAUGAAGCGGAACCAAGGUACAGGUUCACACUCUCGGGGGGUAAAUGAGGAGACAAAUGGAGAGACCGAACUCUGAGACUGAAAUCUCCCGGAGUGUUUCGGGACAGACGGGUUACCCUGGCUCUGGGCACCGGGCCAGACGGAAGAUUAUGCAUCAACGCACAGUGAGAUCGCGUCACAGCGCCCGAGAUGGGAGCAGCACUGAAGGAGGCUAUUCUUCCCGUCUGAAAUUCCGUAUCUCCUGCCUAAGUGUAUGGUCCAUGGUAGACAUCUCAGUGUUAUCAGUGCAAUGCAAACCCCAGAACUCGUUGCUAACUGUGCAGUAUAAUCUAAUCGCUUGGAUCGCCCAAACUGAUCAGCAAUGUUUGCAGGAAAUUCCCAGAUAUCUUGAACAGUUUCCUCUUUAGUUUUGUUUAUAAAUUUAUGAAUAAUUGGUUGAAAGUUACGCAGAUAUACAUCACAGGCACAUCCCUCCCCACCAUCGGUAGGAUCUACAGGAGGUGCUGCCUCAAGAAGGCAACAUCCAUCAUCGAAGAUCCCCACCAUCCGGGCCGUGCCAUCUUCUCACAGCUCCCAUCGGGCAGGAGGUACAGAAGCCUGAAGUCCCACACCACCAGGUUCAGGAACAGCUAUUUCCCUUCAACCACUCGGUUCUUGGACCAACCGGCACAUCCUGAAUCACUAGUGUUUAGCAACACCUUGACCACUAUGACUUGCACUAAAAUGGACUUUGGUUUUUCCUCGUUCUAAUUGUGUUCUUCCUUGGAAAAAUUGUCUCUGCUUAUCUGAUGCUCUGUGCCUGUGAUCCCGCUGUAAGUAAGCUUUUCAUUGCACCUGUGCACACCUGGACUUGUGCAGAUGACAAUAAACUCGACUUUGACUUUGA